AACGAACGCUGGCGGCAGGCUUAACACAUGCAAGUCGAGCGAAGACUUCGGUCUUAGCGGCGGACGGGUGAGUAACGCGUGGGAACGUGCCCUUCUCUACGGAACAGUCCUGGGAAACUGGGUUUAAUACCGUAUACGCCCUUUUGGGGAAAGAUUUAUCGCCCUUAGACGGGCCCGCGUCGGAUUAGGUAGUUGGUGGGGUAACGGCCUACCAAGCCUACGAUCCGUAGCUGAUCUGAGAGGAUGAUCAGCCACACUGGGACUGAGACACGGCCCAGACUCCUACGGGAGGCAGCAGUGGGGAAUCUUGGACAAUGGGCGCAAGCCUGAUCCAGCCAUGCCGCGUGAGUGAAGAAGGCCUUAGGGUUGUAAAGCUCUUUUGCCAGGGACGAUAAUGACGGUACCUGGAGAAUAAGCCCCGGCAAACUUCGUGCCAGCAGCCGCAGUAAAAC
rnacentral:rRNA from 1 species